rnacentral:rRNA from 1 species
GUCGCGCGGUGGUCCCACCUGACCCCAUGCCGAACUCAGAAGUGAAACGCCGUAGCGCCGAUGGUAGUGUGGGGUCUCCCCAUGCGAGAGUAGGGAACUGCCAGGC